rnacentral:rRNA from 1 species
UACGGAGGGUGCAAGCGUUAUCCGGAUUCACUGGGUUUAAAGGGUGCGUAGGAGGGCAGGUAAGUCAGUGGCGAAAUCUCCAAGCUUAACUUGGAAACUGCCGUUGAUACUAUCUGUCUUGAAUAUUGUGGAGGUGAGCGGAAUAUGUCAUGUAGCGGUGAAAUGCUUAGAUAUGACAUAGAACACCAAUUGCGAAGGCAGCUUACUAUGGUUAUAUUGACACUGAGGCACGAAAGCGUGGGGAUCAAACAGG